rnacentral:rRNA from 1 species
GACGAACGCUGGCGGCGUGCUUAACACAUGCAAGUCGUACGGUAAGGCCCUUCGGGGUACACGAGUGGCGAACGGGUGAGUAACACGUGGGUGAUCUGCCCUGCACUUCGGAUAAGCCUGGGAAACUGGGUCUAAUACCGGAUAGGACUCCGGACUGCAUGGUCUGGGGUGGAAAGCUUUUGCGGUGUGGGAUGGGCCCGCGGCCUAUCAGCCUGUUGGUGGGGUGAUGGCCUACCAAGGCGACGACGGGUAGCCGGCCGGAGAGGGGGACCGGCCACACUGGGACUGAGAUACUGCCCAGACUCCUACGGGAGGCAGCAGUGGGGAAUAUUGCACAAUGGGCGCAAGCCUGAUGCAGCGACGCCGCGUGAGGGAUGACGGCCUUCGGGUUGUAAACCUCUUUCAGCAUCGACGAAGCGAAAGUGACGGUAGGUGCAGAAGAAGGACCGGCCAGCUACGUGCCAGCCGCCGCAGUAA